ensembl:snRNA U6 U6 spliceosomal RNA
AUGCUCACUUCGGCAGCAUACAUACGAAAACUGGAGCAACACAGAGACGAGCAUGGCUCCUGUGCAAAAACGACAUGCAAAUUUGUGAGGCCCCGCAGAUUUUU